rnacentral:SRP_RNA from 1 species
GGAAACCUUCUCAGUCUCUCGCAACGGUGUUUGGUUUACUCGGUCAGGUCCGGAAGGAAGCAGCCAAAGUCGGAAUUACUGUGUGCCGAGAAGAAGCUGGGAAGGUUUCCGCCC